rnacentral:rRNA from 1 species
CUAUUAUGCAGAUUGUUAAUUAAAAUUAAUUAGUUUAAAGAUAUAUGAAAAAUAAUUUUUUGCUGGAGUAAUGUUUAAUAAAAUAAGUAGAAUUUGACUAUAGUUAAUAAGUACUGUGAAGGAAUUUAUAACACACCAUGUGAAUAGGUAUAGUAGCUUUAAAUUUGCGUACCUUGUGCAUUAGGAAAAAUCGAUAUAAGCUAUCAAGGGUAGUUCUCUCGAAAUAAAAAUAGCUAACUUUAUAUAAUCUUCUUUGUAAAAUAAAAAUGUUUAAUAUGAAUUUAGGAGUGAAAUGCUAUUCGAGUUUUAUAAUAUCUAGUUCCUCUCAAAAUAAAUUUAAUUUAAGCUAUGCAGAUAUUUAACUGUGUAGACAAAGUACAGGAGGGAUUAGCUUCUUGUAUAAAGUAUAUUAAAUAGUAAUUUAUUCAAUAUAACUGUUUAAACUAAGCUUAAAAGUAGCUAGGUUAAUAAUGUGUUUUAAUUAAAUCUUAAUUGUAAAAAUAUUUUUGAGUCACUUUUGUAAUGUAAUAUAGAGGAACUUUGCAAAACUUAAAAGUAGAGGAUAAAAUGAUUUUAUUAGUAAAUUUUAUGUCAAAUAACUGUAUUAUAAUAGCUGGUAUAAUAUAAUGGUAAUAUGAAAAUACAAAGGAACUCGGCAAAUAAUUUUCUUGCCUGUUUAUCAAAAACAUGUCUGUUUGAAGGUAUAAAAAGUCCGGCCUGCCCACUGACAUUAUUUUUUUAAAGGGCCGCGGUACUCUGACCGUGCAAAGGUAGCAUAAUAGUUAGGUUUUUAAUUGAGAUCUUGUAUGAAUGGUUUGACAAGGAAAAGUCUGUCUUUGUAUUUAUUUAUUGAAUUUAACUUUUAAGUGAAAAGGCUUAAAUGAGUUAGGGGGACGAUAAGACCCUAUAAAACUUUAUAUAAUUCUGUUAGUUAAUUGAAUUCUCUUUUUUUAUAAAAUUUAACUGAAACCUUUAUAUUAUGUUGGGGCGACAAAGAUAAAAAUUAAGAUAACUGUUUAAAGUUCAGACAAUCAUGUUUGAUUAUAAUUUUAAAUGAUCCUGUCUAAAGAUUAAAAGUUUAAGUUACUUUAGGGAUAACAGCGUUAUUUUUUUUGAGAGUUCUUAUCGAAAAAAGAGUUUGCGACCUCGAUGUUGAAUUAAAAUUUCUAUACAAUUGCAGAAGUUGUAUAAGAGGGUCUGUUCGACCUUUAAAUUUUUACAUGAUUUGAGUUCAAACCGGCGUGAGCCAGGUUGGUUUCUAUCUCUUAAUAAAUAAAAGUUGCUUUAGUACGAAAGGAUUAAGUAACUAAAAUUAUUUUUUUUGUGUUAU